rnacentral:rRNA from 1 species
GCUUACGGCCACACCGCCUGGUUCAGCCCGAUCUCGUUUGAUCUCGGAAGCUAAGGUAGGUUGGGCCUGGUUAGUACUUGGAUGGGAGACCGCCUGGGAAUACCAGGUGCUGUAAACU